UUUUUUGUUGAAUGGGAAAUAGUUUCCCAGGAGGAGGAGGCAAUUUUACCGGGACCAUCACAUCUUUGGUUAUCAACAUAAUGUCUGGUCUCAAGAGUGUAUAAAAUACCAAAAAAUUAUCGGGUCCCGGUAUAAAACUACUCAAGGCUGAUAAUGGAAUUGGAUGGUGAAAAACAUGAGAAUAAAGGAAUAAUUUACACGGUGA
rnacentral:lncRNA from 1 species